UUCGCUUCCUUUGUAAUCGCUCGGUUUCUCAUUAAUCGGGUCGCACCAGAUCGGAGCUCCUCCGCUGUCUCACCCAAAGCCGCACAUUGAGUGAGGCUUGCAAGGGUUUGGAAAAGUUGUGUCGUUCCAAGCGAUGCACAUCCUAUUGCGUUCUUCUCCUUCAUUAUUGCAACACCGCAUUCUUCAAUUUGAGGUUUUUGUUGAACCACAACCCAUUCCUAUCAACGCAUCCAUUCCAAGCGACGCACAUCCAAUGGGUGAGAAAACGAAUCAUUCACAAAAGCUGUUUAUAAUCAUCUGUCAACACAGGCAUUCCAAUUUUGGACGUCAAGGUUAAGGUCUCACCUACCUCUGAUGUCGUUCCAAAUGAGCCUUUGAUUUUUUUUCUUUUCUUAUUUGUGAAUAGAAUUUGUGUUUGAGAUUCAACCUCGGAAAUUCAUCUUUGGGAUGUGAAUAUUUUUCUUGGUGGCAUGGAUUUAUCUAGAAAAGUUCAGAUCUCACAUUGAGAUAGUAAUCCUUUCAUCGAACCACUGAGGUUUCAAAUACCAUAGGUUUGGCAGCGGAGGAGGAGGGAUCAAUGGAGAUGGAGAUUUCAUGGUUGGGGUGAGCGCACAUUCCGCGAGUGGAGGAGGGGUGUGAUCAAUCCAUUACACUUGGUAUAGCAAUUGAUACUGUUGAGUGUUCAUUGCGAAUAUAUCCUAUGACUAUUAGAGUGGUUUGGUUUAAGUGGAACUCGCAAAUGGAUUUCCUAGAGGACAACAACUGAAGAAAUUUACUCGAUUACUCUUUCCUCGAUCAUCCUCCAGCCAAUUUCCUUUUAUUCAAUCAAAGAAGGGGAGAUUGAGAAGAUGGGUCAUCCAUGGCAGGGUGCAAGCGGCGGAGAAAGGGGGGUUGUCAAAGAUGAGGACUCACUCUGUGAUCUCAAUCUUCUCUUCCCUCCCUCCUUCUCCAGGGUCAUGUAUAGCCAAACUUCAUGCCACUAAAGUAGGAGAAUUCUAUAGUUCUUCCUCUUCUUCGCCUCAAAUUGAAGAAAAUUUGUGCAAGUUGGGAGCUAUUUACCCUUAAUUUAGUAGAGCAUUACUUUGUCAGAAUGAUAAUUAUUGUGCGUCACUGUAUUAAGCUCCUACAUUUUAAAUCUAACUUUAACUUUUGGAUUCAGCUCUCUAGAUUGUCUUUUUUUUAGUGGAAUGACUGGCAUUAUA